AUGAUCUCACAGGCUCAGCUCAUCUGUCUGUUUGUGCUAUGGGUCACAGAUGCCAGUGGGCAGAUCGUGCUGACUCAGACUCCAGACUCCCUGGCUGUAUUUCCUGGAGACACAGUCACUAUCCGCUGCAAAGCCAGUUCCAGCCUCAUCCUUGGUAGCUAUCACCGCCUAGCUUGGUACCAACAGAAAUCAGGAGCAGCACCGAAGCUCUUUAUCUAUUAUGCUUCCUCCCGUGUCUCUGGGGUCCCAGACCGGUUCAGUGGCAGUGGGUCUGGCACCGACUUCACAUUCACCAUCAGCAGGGUUGAAGCUGCUGAUGCUGGAGAGUAUUACUGCCUGCAGCAUUACAGCUACCCUUUCACACAGUGA